UACGGAGGAUCCGAGCGUUAUCCGGAUUUAUUGGGUUUAAAGGGUGCGCAGGCGGGAGAUUAAGUCGGCGGUGAAAUUUUGCAGCUCAACUGUAAAAGUGCCUUCGAAACUGGUUUCCUUGAGUGUAGAUGAAGUAGGCGGAAUUUGUGGUGUAGCGGUGAAAUGCAUAGAUAUCACGAGGAACUCCGAUUGCGCAGGCAGCUUACUAAACUACUACUGACGCUCAGGCACGAAGGCGUGGGGAUCAAACAGGAUUAGAUACCCGGGUAGU
rnacentral:rRNA from 1 species